rnacentral:rRNA from 1 species
CAAGAGUGGGGGAUAACGUAGCGAAAGUUACGCUAAUACCGCAUACGAUCUAAGGAUGAAAGCAGGGGAUCUUCGGACCUUGUGCUCCUGGAGCGGCCGAUAUCUGAUUAGCUAGUUGGUGAGGUAAAGGCUCACCAAGGCCACGAUCAGUAGCUGGUCUGAGAGGACGACCAGCCACACUGGAACUGAGACACGGUCCAGACUCCUACGGGAGGCAGCAGUGGGGAAUUUUGGACAAUGGGCGAAAGCCUGAUCCAGCAAUGCCGCGUGAGUGAAGAAGGCCUUCGGGUUGUAAAGCUCUUUUGUCAGGGAAGAAACGGUGAGGGCUAAUAUCCCUCGCUAAUGACGGUACCUGAAGAAUAAGCACCGGCUAACUACGUGCCAGCAGCCGCGGUAAUACGUAGGGUGCAAGCGUUAAUCGGAAUUACUGGGCGUAAAGCGUGCGCAGGCGGUUUUGUAAGUCUGACGUGAAAUCCCCGGGCUCAACCUGGGAAUUGCGUUGGAGACUGCAAGGCUAGAAUCUGGCAGAGGGGGGUAGAAUUCCACGUGUAGCAGUGAAAUGCGUAGAGAUGUGGAGGAACACCGAUGGCGAAGGCAGCCCCCUGGGUCAAGAUUGACGCUCAUGCACGAAAGCGUGGGGAGCAAACAGGAUUAGAUACCCUGGUAGUCCACGCCCUAAACGAUGUCUACUAGUUGUCGGG